rnacentral:rRNA from 1 species
UACGUAGGGGGCUAGCGUUGUCCGGAUUUAUUGGGCGUAAAGAGCGUGUAGGCGGCCAGGUAGGUCUGCUGUGAAAACUCGAGGCUUAACCUCGAGAUGUCGGCGGAAACCAUCUGGCUAGAGUCCGGAAGAGGAGAGUGGAAUUCCUGGUGUAGCGGUGAAAUGCGCAGAUAUCAGGAAGAACACCAGUGGCGAAGGCGGCUCACUGGCCCGGUACUGACGCUGAGGUGCGAAAGCGUGGGGGAGCGAACAGG